AGACUGAGUGGGUGCCCCUCAUUAAGAGAGAUAAGUAGUUGGGGUGCCAAGUGUUGGCACCCCUUCUAGGGUUUUUUAUGCAAGAAAGAGGGGCAUGGCCUCUCUCUCUCUCCUUCCACGCCAAGACAAGAAGAGGGGGUGGGCCCCUCUCUCUUCCUCAUACCAUUCCAAGGGGUGGCACCCCUUAGACCUUCCAAAA
rnacentral:lncRNA from 1 species